rnacentral:misc_RNA from 1 species
AAAUGUUGAGUACAUACUCAAAACCAACUUCCAAAAUUAUGGCAAGGGGGAGCAUAAUUACAACAAUUUAAGGGAUUUACUGGGUGAUGGAAUUUUCACCGUUGAUGGUGACAAGUGGCGCCAACAAAGAAAGGUAUCAAGCUAUGAGUUCUCCGCGAAGGUGUUGAGGGACUUCAGCAGUGUUGCCUUCAGAAAAAAUGCAGUGAAACUUUCUGGUAUAGUGUCUGAAGCUGCAAAAUCCAACCAGUCAAUGGAUAUACAGGACCUGUUUAUGAAGUCAACCUUGGAUUCAAUAUUCAGAGUUGCAUUUGGAGUUGAACUAGACAGUAUGUGUGGAUCAAAUGAAGAAGGUGUCAUAUUUACCAAUGCUUUUGACAAUGCAAGUGCAAUGACCCUUUGGCGAUAUGUUGAUGUCUUUUGGAAGAUUAAAAGAUUUCUGAAUAUUGGAUCUGAAGCAGCAUUAAAGAAAAACAUUAAAGUAGUUGAUGAUUUUGUGUAUAAAUUAAUCAAUAGUAAAAUUGAACAAAUGCACCACUUAAAAGAUAAUAUCUCUAUGCAGACAAAGAAAGAUGAUAUUUUAUCACGGUUCCUGCAAGUGACUGAGACUGACAAAACUUAUUUAAGGGACAUCAUUCUUAACUUUGUGAUUGCUGGCAAAGACACAACAGCAGCCACUCUAUCUUGGUUCAUCUAUGUGCUCUGCAAACACCCUGCUGUUCAGGAAAAGGUUGCAGAGGAAGUAAGAGAAGUUUCUAAAGUGAAAGAAGUUAAAAGUUUUGCAGACUUUGCAGCCACCAUUGAUGAUGAAGCUCUAGAAAAGAUGAGCUAUCUACAUGCAGCUAUAACAGAAACACUCAGACUCUAUCCAGCGGUGCCAGUGGAUGCAAAGAUUUGCUUUUCUGAUGAUACUCUACCAGAUGGUUUUAGUGUGAAAAAAGGAGAUAUGGUGUCUUACCAACCUUAUGCAAUGGGCCGGAUGAAAUUCAUUUGG